UACGUAGGGGGCAAGCGUUGUCCGGAUUUAUUGGGCGUAAAGAGCUCGUAGGUGGUUCGGUAAGUCGGAUGUGAAAUCUCCAGGCUCAACCUGGAGGGGUCAUUCGAUACUGCCGUGACUAGAGGUCGGUAGGGGAGUGUGGAAUUCCUGGUGUAGCAGUGAAAUGCGUAGAGAUCAUGAGGAAGACCAGUGGCGAAGGCGGGUCUCUGGACAGUUCCUGACACUGAGACACGAAGGCCAGGGGAGCAAACGGG
rnacentral:rRNA from 1 species